GCCCCGCCCAGGUCGCUUGGGCCCUGGGUGGCAGGUUUGCGCAGCCCUGCGGCGAUUUCAAGGCAAGUGACCGGAAUGGGUCGGAAGCGCGUCCCAGUGAGUUUCAGGGAGCGUCCCUUAGGUUUCCGGGGGCGGCGUUGAACCUCCCUAGCCCCAGGCUUCCCAUCCCAGGAGACCCGCCCCUCGAGGCUCGAACGCCCCUAGCCAGGAGAGCCCCGAGUAGUGCCACUUGUGGAAGACCAGGCGCCUGUCGGAAUUAGGAACCGCACCUCCCCUUCCGCUAAGCGGUGGAAGGCCCGGCGGGUGACACGGGGCAGUGGAGCCAUGCAGCCUGUUUUACCAAAAAAGUGGAAGAACCUGGAGGGAAGUAUGAACAAUUCCAGGGACUCAUGAUGUGAGUAUGCGGCCAUGCAUUCACCCAUGUGGGUAUUUCUCAAACCUGAAUCAGAACUGUCCAUGUUUCAAUCAUUUCUAUCCAGUGAAAUCUCUAUAGAAGGCCCAAGGGGACUGAUGAGGUAUGGAGAACUUCCAGACAGCAGAACAUGUGGAGGGUUCUGGAGGAUGGCGUGCCUGGAGAGAGCGUGAAAGCUCCACACACUUUCCCGUAUGCCUUUUCUGUAAAUCCCCUUAUCUAUAUCCUUUGUAAUAACCUUCACGAUAAACCAGCAAAUGUGUUUCCAAGUUCUGUGAACCGCUCUAGCAAAUUAAUCAAACUUAAGGAGAGGGUCAUGGGAACCUCAGUUUAUAACCUUGUCGGUCAGCACAG